rnacentral:rRNA from 1 species
UUAUUUGAGAGUUUGAUCCUGGCUCAGGAUGAACGCUGGCGGCGUGCCUAACACAUGCAAGUUGAGCGAUUUACUUCGGUAAAGAGCGGCGGACGGGUGAGUAACGCGUGGGUAACCUACCCUGUACACACGGAUAACAUACCGAAAGGUAUGCUAAUACGGGAUAACAUAUUUGAGAGGCAUCUCUUAAAUAUCAAAGGUGAGCCAGUACAGGAUGGACCCGCGUCUGAUUAGCUAGUUGGUAAGGUAACGGCUUACCAAGGCGACGAUCAGUAGCCGACCUG